rnacentral:rRNA from 1 species
AUACGUAGGCAGCAAGCGUUGUUCGGAAUUACUGGGCGUAAAGCGAGUGUAGGCGGCCGACCGUGUCCGUUGUGAAAUCUCCCGGCUUAACUGGGAGGGUGCGGCGGAAACUGGACGGCUCGAGUACGGAAGAGGAAAGCGGAAUUCCCGGUGUAGCGGUGAAAUGCGUAGAUAUCGGGAAGAACACCUGUGGCGAAGGCGGCUCUCUGGUCCUUUUCUGACGCUGAGGUGCGAAAGCUAGGGUAGCGAACGGGAUUAGAAACCCCAGUAGUCC